UGGGAGGGGGGCCAUGCAGAGAAAUUCAUGACUUGUUUAAUUAGAAGUCGGCUCCCCACAUGGAGGAGCCUCUGGUCUGUUGGGGGUGUAAUGCGCAUACAGCGUUUGCAAAAUCCUGAGGUUAAAGAAUUGAAUUCCAAUCAAUUUUGGAUGCACAUCAGCUAAGCAGGCAUUUAAGAGAGCGCUAAUCUUCAGGUGUGAGACAUUCUCCUGGCUGGGUCUUUUGAAGGCCACAAGUGAGCAUCCCACUCAGAAUGACCAGCAAGAACAAAUCAUCACUCUCCUUUGGAUCACCUGAUGGAUCCCUUUAGUUCCUUCCUAUAUAUUAGAACCCCUUACCCCAUUCCUCUUAGGAACGAAUGGUGGAGCAGAAGGCCUCCAUAGAUCCUUCAUCGGUAAAGAGCAACAGUGGCGGAAGUUCCUCCAUUCUUCCAUGCAAAGAAGUGGUUGUGGGAACAUCUACAGCAGGGUCUUCGGUGUUGAUAUUUGUUGCUCCUGAUCUUAAAAUUGGUGCCUGAUGUCAGGAGGACUUCACCCCAUCUAAGGUUGUUCCUAACAUCAACAAUGUAGGAAAAGAGUCAAACUUUGAGAAGAUAUGAUGGUGAGAAGUAGAGAAUGGGAAGAAGAACUGGUCUUGGGGAAGAGGUGCCUUUGGGUACAUCCCUCCCCUAGAUAUUCAUUUCAGUUUUGUAUGGAGCCAUGGAUCAGAAGAAUUAAGUGCAGGGGGGACAUUAUUCCCCACUGUCUCAAGUGUGCCCCUGCAGCAACUGAAAAGUAGAGAAACAUGGUGCCUACCCUUGGAAAAAUGCCACUUUUCAUUAAAAUUGCUCUCUUGUUGUGUUUACAUUGAAA